CGGCACGCCUUAUACAUGCAAGUCGAACGAAGUAGCAAUACUUAGUGGCAGACGGGUGAGUAACAUGUAGGUAUCUUCCCUUUGGUGAGGAAUAACACGAGGAAACUUGUGCUAAUACCUCAUAAGUCUUUACGGAGAAAGCUUUAUGCGCCAUAGGAUGAGCCUGCACUUGAUUAGUUUGUUGGUGGGGUAAUGGCUUACCAAGACUUUGAUCAAUAGCUGAUCUGAGAGGAUGAUCAGCCACAUUGGGACUGAGACACGGCCCAAACUCCUACGGGAGGCAGCAGUAGGGAAUAUUGCACAAUGGAGGAAACUCUGAUGCAGCGAUGCCGCGUGAGUGAAGAAGGCCUUUGGGUUGUAAAGCUCUUUCGUCGGGGAAGAAAAUGACUGUACCCGAAUAAGAAG
rnacentral:rRNA from 1 species